GAUGAACGCUGGCGGCGUGCCUAAUACAUGCAAGUCGAGCGAACGGACGAGAAGCUUGCUUCUCUGAUGUUAGCGGCGGACGGGUGAGUAACACGUGGAUAACCUACCUAUAAGACUGGGAUAACUUCGGGAAACCGUAGCUAAUACCGGAUAAUAUUUUGAACCGCAUGGUUCAAAAGUGAAAGACGGUCUUGCUGUCACUUAUAGAUGGAUCCGCGCUGCAUUAGCUAGUUGGUAAGGUAACGGCUUACCAAGGCAACGAUGCAUAGCCGACCUGAGAGGGUGAUCGGCCACACUGGAACUGAGACACGGUCCAGACUCCUACGGGAGGCAGCAGUAGGGAAUCUUCCGCAAUGGGCGAAAGCCUGACGGAGCAACGCCGCGUGAGUGAUGAAGGUCUUCGGAUCGUAAAACUCUGUUAUUAGGGAAGAACAUAUGUGUAAGUAACUGUGCACAUCUUGACGGUACCUAAUCAGAAAGCCACGGCUAACUACGUGCCAGCAGCCGCGGUAAUACGUAGGUGGCAAGCGUUAUCCGGAAUUAUUGGGCGUAAAGCGCGCGUAGGCGGUUUUUUAAGUCUGAUGUGAAAGCCCACGGGUUCACCGGGGGAGGGUCAUUGGAAACUGGAAAACUUGAGUGCAGAAGAGGAAAGUGGAAUUCCAUGUGUAGCGGUGAAAUGCGCAGAGAUAUGGAGGAACACCGGUGGCGAAGGCGACUUUCUGGUCUGUAACUGACGCUGAUGUGCGAAAGCGUGGGGAUCAAACAGGAUUAGAUACCCUGGUAGUCCACGCCGUAAACGAUGAGUGCUAAGUGUUAGGGGGUUUCCGCCCCUUAGUGCUGCAGCUAACGCAUUAAGCACUCCGCCUGGGGAGUACGACCGCAAGGUUGAAACUCAAAGGAAUUGACGGGGACCCGCACAAGCGGUGGAGCAUGUGGUUUAAUUCGAAGCAACGCGAAGAACCUUACCAAAUCUUGACAUCCUUUGACAACUCUAGAGAUAGAGCCUUCCCCUUCGGGGGACAAAGUGACAGGUGGUGCAUGGUUGUCGUCAGCUCGUGUCGUGAGAUGUUGGGUUAAGUCCCGCAACGAGCGCAACCCUUAAGCUUAGUUGCCAUCAUUAAGUUGGGCACUCUAAGUUGACUGCCGGUGACAAACCGGAGGAAGGUGGGGAUGACGUCAAAUCAUCAUGCCCCUUAUGAUUUGGGCUACACACGUGCUACAAUGGACAAUACAAAGGGCAGCGAAACCGCGAGGUCAAGCAAAUCCCAUAAAGUUGUUCUCAGUUCGGAUUGUAGUCUGCAACUCGACUACAUGAAGCUGGAAUCGCUAGUAAUCGUAGAUCAGCAUGCUACGGUGAAUACGUUCCCGGGUCU
rnacentral:rRNA from 1 species